CCCUGCAGGUUGGCUCAGCACUGGGGAACCAGUGUCCCCUCCAUGACCAAGGCACCACUCCACUGACAGCUUGCUUGGCUGGCCUCCAACCACAGGUUCAGGGGAUGAGCCAAGGUCCUUUUGAGCUCCGGUGUGGGAAUCUCUGGAAAGCUUAGCAACACUUUCCAACAACUUUGCCAGGGUCACACCUCCCAGGAAGAUCUCACUUUCCCACAGAAGCCCCUGGCCUGGCCUCCUGCAGUGCCACGCUCCGUGUAUUUGACAAGCUGAGUUGGACACUCAGUGUGGUAGAGUGUCAGUUUGUCAAAUACCCCAAGUGCGACACAUGCUUAGCAGCUCCAGACCAGGGCAGAUGGGAUAUAACAGAUGAACUGCCAGCUGGAUACAAGGAUGCUCACCAAGCACCAAGUUCUCAUGAGUUAUUUUAAGUGACUUUGCAGGAACUGACGCAUUAUAUCUGAGGACACCAGGGGAAAAGUGUGGCAUCUGUGGGCAUUACAGCCCUGGGCUUCGUCUACACACAUCAUGAGAGUGCUGAUGGGGACACAAUAGUCUUGAAAAUUUAUAAAAUGUCCAGGAAUGGAAGUGCUCUUUGAUACAUUGUUAUUUUCUUCCUUCACAUUCUCCUCCCAGAGUCUCCCAUCUAGGACACCAGAAUUCUCACACAAGCAUCAUAGCUUAUGUGAGAAAGCAGGGCUUAGAAAUUCACUUUCUUGAUGCUCAGUCUUGGUUUCUAAACACUCCUUGACCUUGCCUACCUCCUCCCUUUUCCACAUGUCUUUUCGUCUAGGAAGACUUUCCUCAUUUAUUUCUGCCUAUUCAAAUAUUUCCCAUAUUUCCUGACCUAGCCAAAGUCCAGUGUUUCCAGAGACUUUAAAAAGUCAACUUGAACUUUUUCCUUCUUCAUUCACAAAGCACUUCUUGCCUGGGCCCUGGUAUGUGCCUCUUUCUCUCUUAGUUUCUAACAGCACCUCUUGCAUUGUCAAUGAACUUUUCUAGGGGGGUAUUCUUGAAUUCCCAACUAGAUUGUGAGCUUCUAGAAGACAAGGCUAUGUAUCUUUGAUUGCUGUCUCCCCUACCACAGCCUGGUACUUUGAUUACAGAAAAAAAUAAACCUUUACUGAUUGAUUGAC